GCCCACUUGGCGCAGUGGUACCGCGUAGCACUCGUAUCGUCGAAUUCGGAAAUGCUAAGAUCACUGGUUCGAUUCCAGUAGUGGGCA
rnacentral:tRNA from 1 species